CUACAUGUGGAAAUGUCUCCUCCUCAUUCAUUUAGGAGCAGGAAUAUGUCCAUAACAUGUUUCAUAACAGAGUUCUUAGGUCAGCAAUCUUAUAGUAGGAGUUGAGUAGUAGCAUUUGUCUCCUGCAUAA